UUAUAAUCUCCAGAAAGUAUUUAUAAUUUAUAACAUUUCGAUCGGAGUACUCCAACGCUGGGGUGAAAGGAAGAACGAGUAAGCAUCUGCCCCAACACAACCGGUCGAUUCCCGCGUCCCAUGAGGUUUUUGUCCGAUCAGGAUCGAUGCUCGGCUAUACAGCUGGAAAACGCGGAGCCUGCGAGUGAAAUUAGAAAUGCGGACCUCAUAGUUGCUGACCGUGCAUAACAUACGUUUGUUUUCAGAUCUCGAGCAGUAUAGGAGUCAAAGCCUAUAAGGUAGCGCACUAAAAAGCUGAAAUAUUUUGUCAAGUUUUAUACAAACUUCUAUCAACAUGAGUUUACGUCAUUCGAGUACGGUUUCAAAGAAGCGGAAGCCGCUGAAGCGAAAUCUCCAAGCUGAGAAAAGAAAACGAAGUCGUAUGGUUGCUCUGCAUGUCGCGUUUGCUCGUCUCCGCCGCCUCUUGCCCCCAACCAACCCACCAAAGAAUCGGAUGAGUGAAAUUGAAAUCCUACAGCAGACUUUAAGAUAUAUAAUCUUUCUAAACCGAAUGUUAUGCAAGUAAGGCGUACAGUUACCGGGAACUUACUGUACAGUGGACAAAACCCUGGGUGGGGAGAACUCUGAAUCGCCCACAAACACUUCCAGUCAAACACGGCAAUAUGUUUUCUUAUUUUGCGAACUUAUUAUCAGUAUAAACCAGGAUCGGUGCAAUAAAGUUCUUGCGUUUGCAAAUGUUUUGUAGGGUGGGGAAGAUGGGACACCUUUACAUUUUAUUUACUCAUUUUAUUUGAUGGUAAACAAAGAACAUUUAAAGAAUUAUAAAACUGUAUCCUCACGACUCCAAUAGACCGUUGUUAAUUGUUCAAAACACGAACAGGAAACCUAGAUAACAAGUGCUAAAGGUGUCCCAUCUUACCCUACAGUACUGUAUAUAAUAUUUUCUUGUCAACAGUUUCUUGCUUGUUUAUAUAAAGUGCCACUUGAGAUAAUGUCCGAUACAAUCUUAUUGUUGUGAUGUAAAAACAUCGUGUACGGAAUAAAUAAAACACCUCGUUUCUCUUUU